rnacentral:rRNA from 1 species
UACGGAGGGUGCAAGCGUUGUUCGGAAUUAUUGGGCGUAAAGCGCGUGUCGGCGGUCUUUUAAGUCUGAUGUGAAAGCCCCGGGCUCAACCUGGGAAGUGCAUUGGAAACUGGGAGACUUGAGUACGGGAGAGGGUAGUGGAAUUCCUAGUGUAGGAGUGAAAUCCGUAGAUAUUAGGAGGAACACCGGUGGCGAAGGCGGCUACCUGGACCGAUACUGACGCUGAGACGCGAAAGCGUGGGGAGCAAACAGG